rnacentral:rRNA from 1 species
GACGAACGCUGGCUACAGGCUUAACACAUGCAAGUCGAGGGACCGGCGCACGGGUGAGUAACACGUAUCCAACAUGCCCUUUACUCGGGGAUCGCCUUUCGAAAGAAAGAUUAAUACCCGAUAUAAAGGAUGGGGAUGCGUUCCAUUAGGUUGUUGGUGAGGUAACGGCUCACCAAGCAGUCGAUGGUUAGGGGUUCUGAGAGGAAGGUCCCGCACAUGGUAACUGAGACACGGUCCAAACUCGUACGUGAGGCAGCAGUGAUGAGUAUUGGUCAAUGGGAGCUAGCCUGAACCAGCCAAGUAGCGUGAAGGAUGAAGGCUUAGGGGUCGGAAACUGCUUUUAUAUAGGAAUAUGUAGUAUAUGAAUAAGGAUCGGCUAACUCCGUGCCAGCCGCCGGGGUAAUAG